GACGAACGCUGGCGGCGUGCCUAAUACAUGCAAGUAGAACGCUGAAGGAGGAGCUUGCUCUUCUGGAUGAGUUGCGAACGGGUGAGUAACGCGUAGGUAACCUGCCUGGUAGCGGGGGAUAACUAUUGGAAACGAUAGCUAAUACCGCAUAAUAGCAGUUGUUGCAUGACAGCUGUUUGAAAGGUGCAAUUGCACCACUACCAGAUGGACCUGCGUUGUAUUAGCUAGUUGGUGGGGUAACGGCCCACCAAGGCGACGAUACAUAGCCGACCUGAGAGGGUGAUCGGCCACACUGGGACUGAGACACGGCCCAGACUCCUACGGGAGGCAGCAGUAGGGAAUCUUCGGCAAUGGACGGAAGUCUGACCGAGCAACGCCGCGUGAGUGAAGAAGGUUUUCGGAUCGUAAAGCUCUGUUGUAAGAGAAGAACGAGUGUGAGAGUGGAAAGUUCACACUG
rnacentral:rRNA from 1 species